rnacentral:misc_RNA from 1 species
GAUGAAGAACGUAGCGAAAUGCGAUAAGUAGUGUGAAUUGCAGAAUUCAGUGAAUCAUCGAAUCUUUGAACGCACAUUGCGCCCCUUGGUAUUCCCUGGGGCAUGCCUGUUCGAGCGUCAUGUGUACCUUCAAGCUUUGCUUGGUGUUGGGUGUUUGUCUCGCCUUUGCGUGUAGACUCGCCUUAAAAUAAUUGGCAGCCGGCGUAUUGAUUUCGGAGCGCAGUACAUCUCGCGCUUUGCACUCAUAACGACAGCGUCCAAAAGUACAUUUUACACUCUUGACCUCGGAUCAGGUAGGGAUACCCGCUGAACUUAAGCAUAUCAAUAAGCGGAGGA